AUGAUUAGUCAAACAUCACCUCCCCGCCCCAGCGCGCCGGAGGCUGGAAGGGAGGAGUCUCGGAGCGACUGUUUCCCUUUUAUUAUUUUUUUUUUUGGGGGGGGUGGUGGAAGGCGAAACGCGUUCGCCUCUGUGCUUUUAUCCAUCGGCCUUGCAUGUCGUUUCCACUUCUGUCCUGCCGGGUCGGGACGCACAGACACCCAAGCACAGGCCACUGAUGUCGCGGGCGCCUCGCCCCUCGGUCCGCUCAGCCGGCCAGGGCGCUGUCGCGGCCCCGCCAGAGGGGGACGCGAAGCGGGGAGGGAAAAGUUGCUGGGCCCCUCCUGCGCCCCAGCCGUCGCUCCUUCCCAAAGCUGGGGCGCCUGGGAGACAGCAGGGUGCAGAGGCGCCCCUGCGCCCCAUUCUCUGUCUCCAAGGUCGGGGCAGCGCAGCGGCCGCAGGGGUCCUGUGCAUCCCCGCUUAGGGGAGGGAGGGAUCCCCCGGGGAAGGGAGGAGGCGCGGAGCGCGCCCCGCGGAGCAGACGCGCCCGCCCGGCCCGGAUCCGCGCCUCGGCGCUGGCGGCCGCCCCCGAGGGGCUGCGCGGAGGGCGGUGCGCGCGGCUCCCUGCGCCCGGGCGCCCCCAGCGGGAUCCGGGCCGCGGCCGGUGCGCCCCUGUGCCGGGCGCGGGAGCGAGCGCGCGCGCCGGCCGGCGGGCGGGCGGGGAGCCGGCGGGCCCGGCGGGGGUGGGGGUGCAGGGGGAGGACGCGGCGGCGGCGGCGGCGGAGCGGCAGCGCCCCGGGCAGUAGCUGCAGCCCGGGCGGCGGUGCGCGGUCGGCGGCGCAGCGCGCCUCCUCGGCCUAUCUCGGGCGGCUCCGACAUCCCCCUCCUCGGCCCCAGCUGGCGCAGGGCGGCGGACGGCUGAACCGCUGCGAGCAACUCCCCCACCUCCCCCCCCCCCAAAAAAAAAGCCGCAUUGGAGGAGCCUGGCCGCAGGACCCCUCCUCCCUGGCGCCCCUCGCCCUUCGCCCCCCCCCCCCCCCGCUCCCGGGCGCCCGCCUCCCUCCUGCGCGGACUGUCUCCCGACUCGCCGGCUGA
rnacentral:lncRNA from 1 species